rnacentral:lncRNA from 1 species
AAUAAAUUAUCUUGAAAAAAUAAAUUUAGACAAGGAGUAGAAAAAUUAAAAGUGCUAAUGUUGCCUUUUUACAUUAUUUGUCUAGGAUUUGACUAGGAUUUUAUUAGGAUUUAUUUAGGAUUUGAUUAAGAUUUGAUUAGAAUUUUAUUAGAAUUUUUUUAGAAUUUGGUCAGAAAUUAUUUAGAAUUUAUUUAAGAUUUGAUUAGGAUUUGAUUAGGAUUUGACUAGAAUUUGAUUAGGAUUUGAUUAGGACUUAUUUAGGUAUUUAUUAAGAUUUGACAAGGAUUUGAUUAAGACUUAUUUAGAUAUUUAUUAGGAUUUGACAAGGAUUUGACUAAGAUUUGACUAAGAUUUAAUUAAGGUUUGACUAGAUUUUGACUAUGAUUUAAUUAGGAUUUGAUUAGGACUUAUUUAGGUAUUUAUUAAGAUUUGAUAAGGAUUUGACCAAGAUUUGACUAAGAUUUGAUUAAGUUUUGACUAGAUUUUGACUAUGAUUUAAUUAAUAUUUUUAUUUUAAUAUUUUAUUAAUU